AAGCAGAUAGUUUUCAGACCUUCACAUGAUGUAUCGUACAGAUAUGCAGCACCUCCUCAUUAAAACAAAUCCAUAAUAACGAUGAUGUUUGUCCCAGCAUUCAGGAGAUCAUUGCUUUAUAAAUAUAACCAGUGACCCACCAGAGGUCCAUUACUUGACAUCACACAUUGAGAAUUAUUGGAAACCGGUUACGUUUCUGAAGAAUAGAAUUUGG